rnacentral:lncRNA from 1 species
UGAUUUCAUUCGGAUAUACGUGAAACCUCCGAUUGUAUCUAUCUUAUUGCAAGAACUCCAAGUUCUCCAAAAUUCUAGAUCGGCUGACUUCAAUCGCAAGACGCUUGAACCCAAACCUUUCUUCAUAAUCCUCCUAUUACCGUUUCUUGUUUGAACGAACCUGCCAUUCUUCAAAUCUUUCACUCGGCUGAAUCUAUGAAGCAAAGAUUUGUACAAAACCCUCAAAUUCUUGGAGGACAAAACCCAACGAUUUU